rnacentral:rRNA from 1 species
UAAAACCAACUCCCUGAGUGGUGGGGAUGAUUAUUGGGCUUAAAGCGUUCGUAGCCGGCCUGGUUAGUCUCUCGUCAAAUCCAGCGACCUAAUCGUUGGGUUGCGGGGGAUACGGUCGGGCUUGGGAGCAGGAGAGGUUAGCGGUACUCUAGGGGUAGGGGUGAAAUCCUGUAAUCCCUGGAGGACCACCAGUGGCGAAGGCGGCUAACCAGAACGCGUCCGACGGUGAUGGACGAAAGCUGGGGGAGCGAACCGGAUUAGAUACCCGGGUAGUCCCAGCUGUAAACGAUGCGGGCUAGCUGUUGGGGCGGCCACGAGCCAUCUCGGUGGCGCAGGGAAACCGUUAAGCCCGCCGCCUGGGGAGUACGAUCGCAAGAUUG